CUGAAGGGGGCCUAUAGGGAUGCCUGGGAGGGACUCUUCAUUAGGGACUGUAGUGAUAGGACAAGGGGUAAUGGGUUAAAACUUACACAGGGGAAGUUUAGAUUGGAUAUAAGGAAGAAGUUCUUUACUGUGAGGGUGGUGAAGCACUCGUACAGGUUGCCCAAAGAAGUGGUAAAUGCUCCAUCCUUGGUGGUGUUCAAGGCCAGGUUGGACAGAGCCUUGGGCAAUAUGGUCUAGUGUGAGGUGUCCCUGCCUAUGGAAGGGGGGUUGGAACUAGAUGCCCUUAAGGUCCUUUCCAACACAAACCAUUCUGUAUUUCUCUGAAUUUUGAACCGCUCUUUCUAGCUAUAGCUACGUGCAACACCAUAAACUGUUGGGUGACUCAGCAACUGAUCUAUCAUCUAGUCAUACUACUGAGACAAAGAAUUCUGAAAAGAAAAAAAUUCCAUUAUGAUCCUUGGUUGAACCACUCUGCUUACGCUUAGGUAACUUGGAAGGCCACCGGUGGGGAGUAGGAAACUCCAGUGAGCAGCUCUAGACUCGUGAAUGAAAGGUUAUUUGGUUCUGCUGCAAGAAACUGAGGAAUUGUGAGGAAACUGAAGUUUAUGAGGAAUGAGAAGAUGUUGAAAGUUAGCAGCCACUUCAAGAAAAUAAAAUAAGACAGAACACUUGUUCCAAACUUGGCACCAAUGACCUUCAGAGUCUUCUGCUGUAACUGCAGUAGGUGAAAAUAUUCUGACAAGCUAUUUCCAAAUCGCCGAAAUGACUGAAGUGCAAAAGAGGAGAGAGAUCAAUCUCAGCAAGCAGCCUUAAACAGGACUCACAUUCACAUAAUGAAGCUUCACAUUCUUUACA